rnacentral:rRNA from 1 species
GAUGAACGCUGGCGGCGUGCCUAAUACAUGCAAGUCGAGCGAACAGACGAGGAGCUUUCUCCUCUGACGUUAGCGGCGGACGGGGGAGUAACACGUGGAUAACCCACCUAUAUGACUGGGAUAACUGCGGGAAACCGGAGCUUAUAACGGCUAAUAUAUUAAACCGCAUGGUUCAAUAGUGAAAGACGGUUUUGCUGUCACUUAUAGAUUGAUCCACGCCGCAUUAGCUAGUUGGUAAGGUAACGGCUUACCAAGGCAACGAUGCGUAGCCGACCUGAGAGGGUGAUCGGCCACACUGGAACUGAGACACGGUCCAGACUCCUACGGGAGGCAGCAGUAGGGAAUCUUCCGCAAUGGGCGAAAGCCUGACGGAGCAACGCCGCGUGAGUGAUGAAGGUCUUCGGAUCGUAAAACUCUGUUAUUAGGGAAGAAAAACUGUGUAAGUAACUAUGCACGUCUUGACGGUACCUAAUCAGAAAGCCACGGCUAACUACGUG